rnacentral:rRNA from 1 species
CUACGGGUUGCUGCAGUGGGGAAUAUUGGACAAUGGGGGAAACCCUGAUCCAGCAAUGCCACGUGUGUGAAGAAGGCCUGCGGGUUGUAAAGCACUUUCGGUUGGGAGGACUGCUUCUAGCACUAAUAUUGUUGGAAGUUGACGUUACCUUCAGAAGAAGCACCGGCUAACUCCGUGCCAGCAGCCGCGGUAAUACGGAGGGUGCAAGCGGUAAUCGGAAUUACUGGGCGUAAAGCGCGCGUAGGCGGCUAGAUCAGUCGGGUGUGAAAGCCCCGGGCUUAACCUGGGAACUGCAUCCGAUACUGUCUAGAUUGAGUACAGGAGAGGAGAGUGGAAUUCCACAUGUAGCGGUGAAAUGCGUAGAUAUGUGGAGGAACACCAAUGGCGAAGGCAGCUCUCUGGCCUGAUACUGACGCUGAGGUGCGAAAGCGUGGGGAGCAAACAGGAUUAGAUACCCGAGUAGUC